rnacentral:snRNA from 1 species
UUGCUUUGGCAGCACAUAUACUAAAAUGGGAACAAUAUAGAGAAGAUUAGUAUGGCCCCUGUGUAAGGAUGACAUGCUAAUUUAUGAAGCAUCCCAUAGUUUG